AACUUUUGGCAAUGGAUCUCUUGGCUCUCGCAUCGAUGAAGAACGCAGCGAAAUGCGUUAAGUAAUGUGAAUUGCAGAACUCAGUGAAUCAUCGAAUCUUUGAACGCACCUUGCGCUCCUUGGUAUUCCGAGGAGCAUGCCUGUUUGAGUGUCAUUAAAUUCUCAACCUUUCCAUUAAUUUGGUUUGGCUUGGAUGUGGGGGUUGCAGGCUUCAUUUGACUAUGAGGUCAGCUCUCCUUAAAUGCAUUAGUGGAACUUUUGUUGACCAUCUAUUGGUGUGAUAUCUAUCUACACUGUGGAUGUGAAGCAGUGUUCAGCUUCUAACCGUCUAUUAUUGACUUUACUUGACCAUUUGACCUCAAAUCAGGUAGGACUACCCGCUGAACUUAAGCAUAUCAAUAAGCGGAGGCU
rnacentral:misc_RNA from 1 species